rnacentral:lncRNA from 1 species
GGGGAAGUCACGAAUUGAUAGGGAAUUCCUUAAUUAAGCAAUACCACCUAGGGAUAGAGGUAGGACAAUCAAUUGUAUUUUACUUCUAUGACACAUGCAUUGCUAACUGAUAGGGAAGACUAGGGAUAGUAAGCCAGUAAUUAGUAGUAGGCUCUUCUCACCGAGGAAUCGAGUUUAGGGUAGACUAAGAAAGUUUGCAUGACAAUUAGAUAAUAAAGCAAAUUAAUAAGAAGAGUAGAUAAAAGAGAGUGGAUAAGAUGAAAUUGUAAACCCUAACAACUCCAUUCAUCCAUAUCUUUUUCUUGCCAAUUGAAUCACUUGCAUUUGCAUGUUUAUUUUCAU